rnacentral:tRNA from 1 species
GUUACUUUGGCAGAUUAGUGCAUUAAAUUUAGAAUUUAAUUAUGUAUUUAAACGUACAGGUAAUA